CCCAUUUUGGACAGAUAAGAUUCGAAGAAACAUUCUUGGUCUUAUCGUCUUCAAAGUAAUCGAAACCCUACAAAUCAGAAGAUUGUUUGAUUUUUUAAUCAAUGAAAAAAUUGUCGAUAACCAACCUAGUACGUCUCCGUAUAUCAAAUUUCCAUAUCAGAUUCGGGAAUUCUACAAAGAGAUAAGAGAUCUUGGGCAAUCACUGUGAAUAUACGAACUUGCAUGAAUAAUUAGAAAUAUGAUGAUUUUGUCUGAGGAAGGACGAUGUACAAAGUUAAGUUUUCUAUUACGGCUCUUACCUAACAAAAGAGUGUUUAAAUAUAUAUGGUGCUGAUUAUACAAAAUUCAAUGUUUACAGAAAAGGCAAAAUAUUCGAGUUUUAUUCUUUUAGAGAAGGCAAAUUUGAUGUCCUUUAUAAGCCAUAAUAGAAUCUGGAAGCAAUGUUAAAGGCUUGAUGUCAGCAAGAUCGGUGAAUGCUACAAUAGCUGCCAUUUUGUUAGAGGGAUCGUGAAGAGAACAGUUUAAACAAUGGAAAUACUGAUUCUCUAAGCCGUGUCCGUGUGCCAGUGUCUGCCCUUGUUUUAUUAUCACUGCCGCAGUUCCUAUUCUUGCCCGCCAACUGUUCGUCAAAUUGCCUGAACCAAUUUCAUAGUAAGUUUUGUUCUUCCCAAAAGUUUGGAUUUUGGGGAUUCUGGGUUUUAUUCAAACUACUCCUCCGAGAUAUCAAGAAUGGCUACUACUUCGAAUGGAAACUCUAAGAAAAGAGAUGGUGGUUUAUCGUCGCUUGCCCCUCGCAAAAUCAACGUCCAGAAAUUCUCAGAGGCUCGAGCAGCGGAGCUCGAAUCUCUUCACUCCAUUGUGUCUGAACGUUUGAACAAGGACUUUCGAUCAAAGAGGAAUAAGAGGAGAAGGACCAAUUCUUACAAUAAUCAACCUGCAAAGAAGCGUUAUAUACAGAGGCAGAAAUCAGAGUCAUUGAUUGGUCAAGUAUCAGGAGGAGGAGACCAUGAAACAAAGAUCACUAGACGAGUUAAGAGAAGAAUGGAACUUAAAGGGAACCCUCAAUCUGGUUUUUGUACUUCUGGUGAUGGGACAAAGAGGCUGAGAACACAUGUUUGGCAUGCUAAACGAUUUACGAUGACUAAGCUUUGGGGCUUUCACCUUCCUCUUGGUUUACAUGGAAGAGGAAGGGGAUCUAGGGAUGUCUUGAAGCAAUCUAGGCAAGGUGUUCUUCUUCAUGAUGCAAGCUAUCACAUUGCUGUGCAAUUGGAGGGUCCAGAGGGCUCACUCUUGUCGAUAUUAAAUAUGCUACUAGAGCCUUCUCCUUCAUCUCAUUCCAAGGAAGUUUUUGACUCUAUUCUCACAGGCCGUAGUUAUGAAAACGCCAUGCUUUAUCAUCUCGAACCACCAGUUUCUCAGGCGAUUGCUCCUGUAACUUAUAUGUGGAGACCUUCUCAGAUACCAAAGAGAAGAGAUGAGGAGAAAGGAGGGGACGGCAUAGGAACUGAUCGCCCAGUCUCAGAUAGAGAUUAUGUAGACUUUCGAAAACUUUGGGUGUGGAUCCAUGCUUCUUCCUUCACUGAAGGAUAUGCUAUUCUUAAAGUAGCUUGUCAGAAACAGAUGAAUGAGACAGGUGUCUCAGUUGAUUGCUUUUCACUCGAGGGCCAGCUUGCAAAACUUGAGAUUUUUGGUCCAAAAGCAUCUCAUCUUCUCCAGAAGACCCUACAUCCUGCUACAAGUAGCUCAGAGGAUACCUCUAUUUCUAAAAUGUGUUCAAUGGAAAAAGCUGAGGUUAAAAACGUUGCUGAUCCUUACAAAGAAGAGAACGUAUCAUCUGGCGCUAUUUUAGCACAGUUUGUCAUAGAUCGCGCGGUUAAUCCUG